GCCCGCCUAGCUCAAUCGGAUAGAGCGUCAGACUCUUAACGUCUGGGUGGGAUCGUCCCUCACAAGUUAUAAAUCUGAAGGCUGCGAGUUCGACCCUCGCGGUGGGCU